rnacentral:rRNA from 1 species
AGCAGCCGCGGUAAUUCCAGCUCCAAUAGCGUAUAUUAAAGUUGUUGCAGUUAAAAAGCUCGUAGUUGAAUUUCGGGAUCAGUUGAUCGGUCGUGCCUCGGUACGUACUGGUCAAAUUGAUUCCUACCUUCUGACGAACCACGAUGUCAUUAAUUUGGUGUCGUGGGAAAUCAGGACUGUUACUUUGAAAAAAUUAGAGUGUUUAAAGCAGGCUCGCGCUUGAAUACAUUAGCAUGGAAUAAUGAAAUAGGACGUUUGAUUCUAUUUUGUUGGUUUCUAGGAUCGACGUAAUGAUUAAUAGGGAUAGUUGGGGGCAUUAGUAUUCAAUUGUCAGAGGUGAAAUUCUUGGAUUUAUUGAAGACUAACUACUGCGAAAGCAUUUGCCAAGGAUGUUUUCAUUAAUCAAGAACGAAAGUUAGGGGAUCGAAGACGAUCAGAUACCGUCGUAGUCUUAACCAUAAACUAUGCCGACUAGGGAUCGGAUGAUGUUAAUUUUUAAUGU